rnacentral:misc_RNA from 1 species
GAUACAUCAUUGAAGAGAUCAUAAUCGUUUGUCUUCGCACUUCCCGAAUUUCCCGAUAAAGUUAGGUUAGUUUAGUUUUGUUAUAAAAAUAAUUAUCUUCAUUUUGCCAAAAACAAUUAAGUUGUUAUCGUUUUUCUAACACAGCAGAUAGUGUACCUAUUUAUUAAAAAAUAAUUCCAUAUCAAAAGCCAGUGUUAGUUACAAUAAUUGUAGUAAUAUAUAGAUUAUCUAAAUAUCCGUAAGAUGGCGCUUAAACGUGUUUUGAUUGUAAACAAAACUUUUCCUGUUGCCGGCUUGGAAUUAAUGAAAAAUCGGGUAGAAAUGACAGUGUUGCCAUACUCGGAUGAACACCCCGACAGUCUGGCGGACAUCAAAAGAAACAUCCCCGGCGUUGACGCAUUGAUAUGGAACACGAAACACCAACUCAACAAGGAAAUACUCAAUUUAGCUGGCCCUCAACUGAGAGCCAUCUCCACCAUGUCAUCUGGUGUGGACCAAGUGGACGUGGAAGAGGUCAAGGUGCGUGGUCUUCCACUGGGAAAUACUCCGAAAGUGCUGGACGACGCAGUUGCUGAUAUUACGGUCGGGUUGCUGAUAGCUGCUGCCAGGAGGUUCAAGGAAGCUGUGGAGGAAUUGGUCACUGGCGAAUGGAAGUACGGCGUGCAAUGGAUGAUCGGGCAGGACAUAGCGGGCAGCACCGUAGGCAUCGUCGGCCUGGGCGGCAUCGGCCAGGCGGUCGUCAGACGACUGCGCGGCUUCGAUGUUGCCAGGUUCCUGUACACCGGGAGGACUGACAAACCUGAAGCAAAAUCUCUCGGAGCAGAACGAGUACCGUUGGAGCAGCUACUCCGAGAGAGUGACUACGUGGUCCUCAGCUGCCCUCUGACGGCCGAGAGCCGGAACAUGAUCAACAAGGACUCCUUGCAACUCAUGAAGAGCAACUGCGUGCUUAUUAACAUUGCUAGAGGAGGUCUAGUAGACCAAGAGGCUCUGUAUGACGCGUUGAAGGAGAAACGGAUCUUCGCGGCUGGACUCGACGUGGUCACCCCUGAACCGCUUCCUAAAGACCACAAGCUGAUAACCCUUCCUAAUUGCUAUAUUUUACCUCAUAUGGGAAGCGCUACGAUCGAAACCAGAAACGCCAUGGCGAAGAUAUCAGCAAAUAACAUCCUUCUCGCUUUAGAAGGAAAACCUAUGCUGUUUCCAGCAUACUGAGUAGUAUAUGCUCGUAUUAUGCAUUUUCUGUUUACUUUAAAAUCAAAAUGUGUUACGAAAUAUAAUAUUAUUCUAUCCAUAUAAGGAAAUUAUUAAGUAAAAGUUGACGUUCAGUUAUUGCGUGAAUGACCCUUAUCUUUUUAAACGGGUCUCACUCGCGAUAUGAGAGAAAAAGAGACAAAAAACAAUAUCCAGUCAAGUUCAAGGACCGGUCAGGGAAUAAAUAAACAGAACCGUUCCGAUGCAAAGCAUAUUCGAUCAAUUUUUAUCUUGGUUCUAUUCUACUGUAAAGAGCGCGGGUACGUUAAAAUACCUAAAUAAAAAAGUUAACGAUUUACUUUUAAAUCGCCUUUUGGCGGUUUUUAGUGAUUUUAAUUUUGAUAAACGCGGUAUUUUUUUAUAUUUUUUUCAUUUCUUGUUAUCAAUCGUAGUAGUUGAGAUUGUUUGAGAUAAGAAACAAUAAGUGCUGUUACGUAACCACGAUGUGUAUUUAUGUCAUUGCCGCCGCGUUGUUAGCUUGUGUUCUGCCGCCGAGCUACGGAAACCCGCCAACAACAAUGGCGCAAAAUAAAGUGUUAGUGUCAUCAAAGGAUUUCCCGGAAAGCGGAUUGAAAGUGCUCCAAGAUAACAAUUUUACAGUAGUUCAAACCCAAUUUCUGAACUUCGGCGAAGAGGGGAAGACCAAGAAUAACGAGGAGCUCUUGAAGCUGAUCCCGGGAUCUUCUGCGCUCAUCUGGGUGUCCAACUUGCCACUCAGCACUGAGCUGUUG